rnacentral:lncRNA from 1 species
GCCUCCAGAGUAGCUGGGACUACAGGCGCCUGCCACUACGCCUGGCUGAUUUUUUGUAUUUUUAGUAGAGACAGGGUUUCACCGUGUUAGCCAGGAUGGUCUUGAUCUCCUGAUCUCGUGAUCCGCCCACCUCGGCCUCCCGAAGUGCUGGGAUUUCAGGCGUGAGCCACCGCGCCGGGCCCACGGAUGGAUUCUUAAGCAGUUGCCAUACAAUGUGCUGUGCAAUCAUUGCACACCCUCAAUGACCAGAUUUCCCAUUUUAUUGUCACCAAGUCGAAGGCACUGGAGGAGGACAAAGACCCUUUUCUACCCACUGAGAAGGAGACUCUGAAGAGUUCCAUGAUAUUGAUGAGGCACCUCUUAAUGGAUGCUCAGGUUUCAUGCAAAAUAAGACUCACACCACAUUGGACAGGCAGACCUGUAAACAAUUACCAUCCCUUUGUGGAUGAUUUUCAAUAUGUUUUAGACUCAGUGCUUGACCUUCACAACUAUAUUCGAAAGGCUGCACAGGUAUGACACCAACAUCUACUGAGCUUCUGCGGGAAGCCUCAGGAAGCUUACAAGCAUGGCAGAAGUUGAAAGGAGAAGCCAGGCUGGACACGGUGGCUCAUGCCUGUAAUCCCAGCACUUUGGGAGGCUGAGGCGGGUGGAUCAGGAGGUCAGGAGUUCGAGACCAGCCUGACCAACAUGGUGAAACCCCGUCUCUACUAAAAAUACAAAAAUUAGCCAGGUGUGGUGGCAUGUGCCUGUAAUCCCACCUACUCAGGAGGCUGAGGCAGGAGAAUUGCUUGAACCGGGAGGCAGAGGUUGCAGUGAGCUGAGAUUGCGCCACUGCACUCCAGUCUGGGCAACAGACCAAGACUCUGUCUCAAAAAAAAAAAAAAAAAAAAAGAAGAAGAAGAAGAAGAAAGGGGAGAAGAGGAGAAACCAGUGUCUCAAAUAGUGAGAGAGGGAGUUGGGGGGCGGGUUGCCACACUUUUAAACAACCAGAUCUCAUGAAAACUCACUCACUAUUGGGAGGAUAGCACCAAGCCACAAGGGAUCCAUCCCUAUCACCCAAACACCUCCACUAGGCCCUACCUCCCUCAUUGGGGAUUAUAAUUCAACAUGAGAUUUGGCAGGGACAUAUAUUCAAACUAAUCAAAUGUGUUUCAUGAUCUUUUUUUAG